rnacentral:rRNA from 1 species
CCUACGGGCGGCAGCAGUCGAGAAUCAUUCACAAUGGGGGAAACCCUGAUGGUGCGACGCCGCGUGGGGGAAUGAAGGUCUUCGGAUUGUAAACCCCUGUCAUGUGGGAGCAAAUUAAAAAGAUAGUACCACAAGAGGAAGAGACGGCUAACUCUGUGCCAGCAGCCGCGGUACUACAGAGGUCGCAAGCGUUGUUCGGAAUCACUGGGCGUAAAGCGUGCGUAGGCUGUUUCGUAAGUCGUGUGUGAAAGGCGCGGGCUCAACCCGCGGACGGCACAUGAUACUGCGAGACUAGAGUAAUGGAGGGGGAACCGGAAUUCGCGGUGUAGCAGUGAAAUGCGUAGAUAUCGAGAGGAACACUCGUGGCGAAGGCGGGUUCCUGGACAUUAACUGACGCUGAGGCACGAAGGCCAGGGGAGCGAAAGGGAUUAGAUACCCGUGUAGUC